AAACGACCCGCACAAAAUUUCGGGUUCUUUUUUUCCUUUUCAUUUCCUCGCUCCUCUGAUCCUCUCCUUCCCCUUCUCUGCUUCUUCUCCGGUUCUUUUCUAACGCGUCGCCGCUGCUCUUCCUCUUCCUACCGCGUCGCCGCUGCUCUUCCUCUCCUCUUCCUUCCGCGUCACUCCCCCUUCCCCCACCGCCGCUGAGUUCUACCUUCUUCCAGAUCGAGCCAAUUAUGGGUGACCUUCCUGGCCGCAGAAACAUGCUUGGUAUCAGGUUCAAUUAGAAACGCAUAUCACACAAAGUGCCAAGGAAUCUUUGGUCAAGAACAUUUAUCACGCGCCACACUCUGCAUGGGGGGUUUUGCUGCUGCAGCUGCACUGACAUUGCUGUCAAUGAUUGGAUUUGUCGUCUAUUAAUAAAUCCACUCUAAGGAUGACACUGGUGGUUGGCGGAGACAUCAAAAUGAAGGUAUCAGUAGACCGUAUCAAAAUACUUCUUGAACUCAUUGAGGUUUAUAAUGAAUGGCCUGAUGUGUGGCGUCUGCCAGCUGGUGUCAAAUUUGAUGCAUAGUUUUUUUCUCAACUGCUCGAACAUCUUGCAGAAAAAUGUGAUGCAGGAGAAGUAAAACCCCUUGCCUUCAUUGAUCACCUAUCUUUGUGCCGAACUUGUUUCACCAUUGUUCUCAUCACUUGUAGGUUCCUCGAGAGGUAUUCAAUAAUCCGAGGGAGCGGCCUUUCACCUUUGAGGAGAUAGAUGAAGUUCGAAAAUUGUUGGCAAACUUCAUUACCAGUGAUUGUCUUUGAUAUUUUCUUGUACUGAAUCUUAAAUUAUGGAUGCUAGCUAGUUUUUCAUAUGAUUAUAAUGUAAUCGACUUUUAUAUUUACAAUUAUAUACUAUUUAAUUUAAUUAUCUAUAUAAUUGGAUACUUUUUACAUAUAUAA